GUCUACAGCCACACCACCCUGAACAUGCCCGAUCUCAUCUGAUUUCAGAAACUAAGCAAGGUGGGGCCUGGUUAGUACUUGGAUGAGUGAAGUUAAAAGGACAAUAAAACCAACUAAUGGUGGGUC
rnacentral:rRNA from 1 species